rnacentral:rRNA from 1 species
AUUGAACGCUGGCGGCAUGCCUAACACAUGCAAGUCGAACGGCAGCACGGCAGUAGCAAUACUGUGGGUGGCGAGUGGCGGACGGGUGAGGAAUACGUCGGAAUCUGCCCAGUCGUGGGGGAUAACUAGCCGAAAGGUUAGCUAAUACCGCAUACGACCGAGAGGUGAAAGCGGGGGACCGCAAGGCCUCGCGCGAUUGGAUGAGCCGACGUCGGAUUAGCUAGUUGGUGGGGUAAAGGCCACCAAGGCGACGGAUCCGUAGCUGGUCUGAGAGGAUGAUCAGCCACACUGGAACUGAGACACGGUCCAGACUCCUACGGGAGGCAGCAGUGGGGAAUAUUGGACAAUGGGCGCAAGCCUGAUCCAGCAAUGCCGCGUGUGUGAAGAAGGCCUCGGUUGUAA